UGUCAAAAUUAUGACAUAUCUUAUAAUUUUGACUGAAGCAUGUCAGUUUUGACUGUAUCUCAUAAUUUAGACUUAUAGGUAUGGAAACGUCUAUAGGAGAAGAGAAACAUCCAUGAAAGAAGGCGAGCCAGGGUAAAGGUGAGCUGAACCAUGUGACAUUGACUCCAGCCACUGAAUGACUGGAAUCGAGGAGGCUUUAUGGGGGAUUGUGAUUAUAGGUGCAGCGAAUGCUGCGGGAUGGUGUGACGCCUUUCCUUUUGGUGCUUACGGGCUGGCCGCAGCAACCAGUUUGUCUGGUUAGCUCAUCGUGUACGUCAGCGGACUUGAGACGCAGAGAAGAGUUGACCAUGACGAAGAUGACCGGGUUCGAGUACGGCGAAGAGCGGUUCUAGAAAUUAGGUCCUCUGGAGUGAGUGGAGCGUUUAAGAGAGAUGAUUGACAAGACCUGCUGGCACUUCAAACUGUUGUUCUUAAGUCUCGCAGUGAAGAGUCCUGCCGGGGCGUCCCGUCCACUGUGUCCCGCUGCCAGAAGCACCAGAGACCACCCUGACAUGAGCAAAUGUUUUAUGUAAUUUCCACAAAAAUAAGAAGCGACUUGAAGACUAUCUCCAAAAAUAAUCUCAUUCCACAGCCUGAUCCUGGUAUUUGUGGACUUUGCCAUCCCGAAUGAAGACAGGAGGAGCCGGCGGUUUUGACGAGCACCAGGGCGCCAUGCAAAAAAAAAAAAAAAAAAAAGGUUGUUAGACAAACUCUGACAACAAGAGGCUGCCCUUGAAAAUCAAUUAUAAACACAGGAGCUUCUCUGCAUCUGUUUCUGCUCGGCUGUUUUGUGGAGCUGUCGGGCUUGGAUUUCGGGUUUAUCCUUCUUUCUCUUCCAUUCGGUUCAAACGGGCAUCGCUGAAAGAUUACAGCGAGUUUUUUCAGGCCACGGAGACCCAGUUUGUAAAUCAUCGAUGGGUGAUGACAGCUCAUGGCACCCGCUGCUUAUUGGGAUGAGCAGUUUAUGGGCGCAGUCGGGUGUUUUUUUCACUGCCCGGCCUGCUGUUCCCAACAAGUAAACAAUCAUAAAGAAUGACUUUGACUGCUUAAAGAGGGCUGCAGACAAGUUUGCGCGGACGAGUUAUGGGUUCUCUCUGUUUUUAAGGUCGUCUGAUGGCCCUUCAGGAUUCGGGUUACACAACCCGUGGCCCGUGGAGACUCA